rnacentral:rRNA from 1 species
AGUGAACGCUGGCGGUAGGCCUAACACAUGCAAGCCGAACGGCAGCACAGUAAGAGCUUGCUCUUACGGGUGGCGAGUGGCGGACGGGUGAGGAAUACAUCGGAAUCUACUUUUUCGUGGGGGAUAACGUAGGGAAACUUACGCUAAUACCGCAUACGACCUACGGGUGGAAGCAGGGGAUCUUCGGACCUUGCGCGAUUGAAUGAGCCGAUGUCGGAUUAGCUAGUUGGCGGGGUAAAGGCCCACCAAGGCGACGAUCCGUAGCUGGUCUGAGAGGAUGAUCAGCCACACUGGAACUGAGACACGGUCCAGACUCCUACGGGAGGCAGCAGUGGGGAAUAUUGGACAAUGGGCGCAAGCCUGAUCCAGCCAUACCGCGUGGGUGAAGAAGGCCUUCGGGUUGUAAAGCCCUUUUGUUGGGAAAGAAAAGCAGCAGGUUAAUACCCCGCUGUUCUGACGGUACCCAAAGAAUAAGCACCGGCUAACUUCGUG